rnacentral:lncRNA from 1 species
GAAACUAAACGGAUUGAUAUUAGGCAACGAAUGGACGUAUACUAUUGCACAUAGAAUAGUUUCCAGCGGACACCCAUCCGUGUCCAAUUCAAACUGAACAACAUUUGGACUAAUAUAAAGGUUGGGACACACACCCCAGAACACCCACGGAAUUAACAGACGCCAGAGCAACCAACAGCACGCGUACGAGGAUAGAAGGGAGAUCCAUACAACGACAUAUCAACACACGCCAGGAACGAAUCGAAGGGGCGACAUAUGCCACACGAAUCUAAGGGGCGACAUACGGCAGGACGCCCAACACAUAGAACGACGGAAGAAGAAAUCGACAGAAACAUCAUCAAUUUUGGGUAAUAUAUAACUGAAAUCUUGAGGUCUGUUUAGAUCUUUCCGUCCUUGCAUGUCUUCACAACUUCCUUAUGAACACCAUGUUUUCCUGUUCAUUGACCAUUAGUUAGAACACUUCUUUCUAACCAAAUUUCAUAGUGCAUUAUCAUAUGAACUACUCCUUUUAAAAUUGUUUUGAAGGCAACACCUGUAUGGCGUACACGAAGUUGAGUGAGUUAACCACAAGACGACAGACAUGGAAUAUUAAAGCCAAAGUAAUUAGAAUGUGGGACUCGAUCAACCCUUCGACUGAUGAACUUGUAAGCAUCGAUAUGAUUUUGAUGGAUGAGCAGGUAUUUUCUUCACAUAAUUAACAAUGGGAUUGUUCUACUUUUAAAAUUACUACUAAGAUUGUCUUUCAUUAAAUUUUGAAGGGUCAUACGGUUCAAGCUACUAUCUGGAAGAAUCGUAUUGACACUAACAGAACAAAGAUCAACGAGGGUUCUAUAUAUGCUUUUAGCAAUUUUAAAGUUAUAGAUGCAACAAAAUAUCGGCCAGUCAACAAUGAAAUUAAAAUUAUUUUUUUAUACAAUACAAAAUUAAAGGAGAUGGAAGGUGCAUCGGAUAAUUUUCCGGAUUACUACUUUGAGUUUGCUAGCAAAGAUACCCUACAAGAACGGCUAGAAAAGGACCAACAAUGCUCAGGUAUGUUGAUAGUCAUAUUCUUACUUCAAAGUGGUCAAUUCAAUUACGAAGCCAUUUGUUGGUAGUUGUAUUAAUAUAUUCCAAAUGAAUAACUUACUAACUUUUUAAGUCUUUAAUCUUCAAAUUUGCAGAUGUUAUUGGCUUACUUACCAAGAGUAAGCCAAUAGAAUCAAGGAUAACAAAGAAGAAAACACCUUUAGAUAUACGUGCAAUUGAAAUUCUAAUGCAAGAGUAAGUGUAUAUCCAUGCAUCAACUUUUCACAGAAGGGUAAAGACUGUUUUCUUCCACUUAUAUUUGUUAUUACCAUUAAUUACUUCCAAAUGAAUUAUUCAGGCGUGAUAAAAUCAGAGUAUCAUUAUGGGGAAGAUUAGCUCAUCAUUUAAGUGAGGAUGUAAUUGGCAAUCAAACAAUUAUUAUUGUUACCUCAACAAUGGUGCAAAGAUUCAACGGUAAGUUGAAUAUGUUUACAUCUCCUUUUUUCAUACCAAGAUAAUAAAUCUAACUGAUUUAUUGUUCAUUAAAUAGGUCUGUGCCUAAAGUCAACUAGCGCCACAAGAGUACAUACCAAUCUAGAUAUACCCGAGACUUGGGAACUUUGUGGCAGGUAUUAACCAUAAUUUGUAGGUACUGGUCCUAUAGAAGUUCAUAAUAUAUCUUCAUUUAUAACAUUUAUUUAUAGCCACUCCAUCGAAGAAACUUUACAAAAAAUGAUGGACAUAGAUAAGAUUACUCAAUGGACACUGGAAGAUCAAAUGUGUUACAGAAGGAUAACCUUAAGAGAACCUCCAAGACCUACAGAUGUGUUUGACAUAUUUGUAUGAGUGGCUAAAUAUCCUUUAAAGAGCUAUACUUUUCCUCAUCAACUUGCAGGACAUUGUGUUCACAACAAUAGCUACAAUUGAUUGAUAACAAGAAAAUAUUCAAUGGUGGUACAUGUCAUGUGAUGUUUGCAACAAAAUUGCUACGAAAGAAUCACAUAAUAAUUAUUGCAAGAAUUGUGAUACGUAUCCAGAAGGUGUAACACCUAGGUAAGCAUAUUCAAUUGAUUUGGCCAUCAUUAUGUACUAUCACAUUUGCGUUACACUAACGAAAUGUGAUUCUAGGUAUCGUAUUCGGCUUCAAAUUAGUGAUCACAGUGCUACUACAAGUUGCACUUUAUUUGAUGAAGGGGCUGAAAGAAUGCUCAAUACAUCAGUCUCAUUCCUGUUGGGUUCCUUAGAUGGAAAAUCUGAAGAAGUCCCAAAGAUUAUACAAGAAUUAUGUGGACAAAGACUUAUCUUUCGAUUCAAACUCAACAAUAAGAACCUCUCUCUCGCAUGCAGAACUAUGCAGUAAAUAAAAUAUUCGUGCCUAAUGAAAAGCUUGAGAAGCGAUACUUAGAGGAUAAAGUUGAAGAGGUAAUGGUCUAUUAAACUAUCAAAUCUAUUUAAACACCAAUUAUUAUACUCUUUUAUAUGGAACUAUUGAAGCAGGUAUUUACAAUUCUUGAUCCAUUGUGCUCAACAGGAUUUGAUGGAUGAUGAAGUGGACGACAUGUUAAAACAAGAAACGAAGAAACUGAAUGAGCCAGUUAAAAAGGUGAUUGAAUACUUCACCGUACAAACUUUUCUUUACAUAAAUUCAUCCAUUUAUGUGAUUUUUGCAGGUACAAAUCAGUAAAUGUGAAUUUAGCAAAAACAUAUGUGAGUUGGUCCCUGUGAAAGAGGAGCCAGAAGAGAAAAGCAAUGGGAGUAUAAUACAUCAGAAGGAGCAUCAAUAUAAAAGCUCAUCAAGAAGUGUCGAUGGCGGGAAAAGGAGGCGAAGAUCUGUUGUAUUACCAGACUCGGAAGAUGAAGAAAAUGAAAAUAGUAGAUCUGAAAAAUCAGAAAAAGCAGUGCCCAAAAGUACCAGAAGUGUUCAUGCAAAAAAACAAAAGGACAAAGGUUGAACAUGAAGGCUCAGAUGUUUGUAACGCCAAAGAUAAAAGUAUCAUCUAUGUAGCCAUAAGGAUGACAAGAAGUUUGACUAAAAAGUCUAACAACACCAAGACCAAAGGUACUGAUGUAAAAUUUGAGGACACAGGUCGUCAACUGGAAGAUCAAGUACGCCAAACAAGACCCACUUUUUGUGACAGUAGUUUAUCCACAAAAAUACGCCAGAGUAUAUGCUCAUAACAAAGAUUAAGAUGUUGUUUAGUUAGUGAGCUUUGCGAAUACAACAUAUAAUAGAAAGAUUUAGCGCAUUUUUAUAUAUGAUCAAUAUGUAUGAACAAUAUGACAUUUUGUUUUUAAACAAUUCGUAUACUAUUCAGAAGAGAAUGAGCAGUACAUGCAUUUGUUCUUCAUCAAUUUAAGUGUUAAGUAGUAACAUUCAGAAGAAUUAGCAUUGCAUUUGUGUAGUUGAUCAAAGCUUUGAUGUGCCUACAACAUUUGCUAAAACUAAAAUGUACUAGCAUGGCCUAGAUUAUAUAUGAAAACAAAUGCUCAACAAUAUUUGAAAAGAUUGAGUUUCAAAUCCAUCUGGAAUACUAUGAAAUUUUUUUAAAAUCAUAGCUUGACUGCGAAUUGAUUCAUACGAAGCCACAAUGAAAUUUAAAAAGAUCGAAAGAAGGAUUGAGCCUCCAUGGCGUAUAUUAUUAUAUCACGAACAAGUAUAUGAUGGUGAGUCACAGACCAAAAGCUUAAUUUAUUUUUCUCACUAACCCUCAACCGAUCCGACCAAAAUUAUUUUUUUAGAAAAAAUGUAUUUGGGCCAGACGCAUAGCUAGCUCCACUAGGUCCUAGACUAGGCAACAUAGUUGAAGGCCAAACCUGCGCUGCUACUUGCGGCACUAAUGAAUCCGUCUUCCGCUCCUUUGUGUUUGUUGCGCCGCGCUGCUCCACGCAGGUCGACGGCUCCUUGGUUCACUUCGCGGCAGCUCAACUGUGCCGGCGUCUCCAUCCAGCCGCGCCACCGCGUGCCCUCCUUGCCACAAGAUAUUCAGUGGAUCCAGCGAGAAUCUUAGCCCAGCAGGUCGCUGCAAGCUAAUCGGAAGCGAUAUGCUCAUGCUGAAGAAUAUCCUUUUAAAAGAACUGUGUGGAAGAGGAAACAGUCCAUUGGCAUGAAGUCUGAGAAGAUAAUAAGCGGUGAGGCCGCAAAAAAUACAGAUAGUACCUUCUUCAUUUGGCAAUGGAUAUGAGCUCUAUUGAAUCUAGCAUCAUCUCUCUCAUGCCACAUACUUCCAGAAGAUCACCGUCCAAUCUCUAAUCCCUAUAAUGAAUAGUCCCCAAAUCUCAAUCUCUAUUGUAUCUCAGCUCCAUGAAAAGUGCCUGCAGCAUGGAGAUUUAAAUAUUUAAUAAAUCUUGAGCGUGGUUGUGGCAUGGAGAUUUUACCCAACAAUUUCUAAUCUGAGAUGAAAUUUAACUCAAUGUCAGAUGCAAAAAAAAUUAGGGAUUUUACCUGUGCAGGCUCCCCCAAAUCCAUUCGGGCCACUACCGGCAGAGACGUAGCCGACGAGCCCGAUGACAGCAAGCUACGGGGGCCGCGAC